rnacentral:rRNA from 1 species
GACGAACGCUGGCGGCGUGCCUAAUACAUGCAAGUCGAACGCAUUUUCUUUCACCGUAGCUUGCUACACCGAAAGAAAAUGAGUGGCGAACGGGUGAGUAACACGUGGGUAACCUGCCCAUCAGCGGGGGAUAACACUUGGAAACAGGUGCUAAUACCGCAUAAUUCCAUUUACUGCAUGGUAGAUGGAUGAAAGGCGCUUUUGCGUCACUGAUGGAUGGACCCGCGGUGCAUUAGCUAGUUGGUGGGGUAACGGCCUACCAAGGCUGCGAUGCAUAGCCGACCUGAGAGGGUGAUCGGCCACACUGGGACUGAGACACGGCCCAGACUCCUACGGGAGGCAGCAGUAGGGAAUCUUCGGCAAUGGACGCAAGUCUGACCGAGCAACGCCGCGUGAGUGAAGAAGGUUGUCGGAUCGUAAAACUCUGUUGUUAGAAAAGAACAAGGAUGAGAGUGGAAAGUUCAUCCCUUGACGGUAGCUAACCAGAAAGCCACGGCUAACUACGUG